GCAUAGCUCAGUUGGUAGAGCAAUGGCCUUUUAAGCCACUGGUCCUCGGUUCGAGCCCGAGUGCA
rnacentral:tRNA from 1 species